GGAAUUUUGGACAAUGGGGGCAACCCUGAUCCAGCAAUGCCGCGUGCAGGAAGAAGGCCUUCGGGUUGUAAACUGCUUUUGUACGGAACGAAAAGGCUCUGGUUAAUACCUGGGGCUCAUGACGGUACCGUAAGAAUAAGCACCGGCCAACUACGUGCCAGCAGCCGCGGUAAUACGUAGGGUGCGAGCGUUAAUCGGAAUUACUGGGCGUAAAGCGUGCGCAGGCGGUUAUGCAAGACAGAUGUGAAAUCCCCGGGCUCAACCUGGGAACUGCAUUAGUGACUGCAUAGCUAGAGUGCGGCAGAGGGGGAUGGAAUUCCGCGUGUAGCAGUGAAAUGCGUAGAUAUGCGGAGGAACACCGAUGGCGAAGGCAAUCCCCUGGGCCUGCACUGACGCUCAUGCACGAAAGCGUGGGGAGCAAA
rnacentral:rRNA from 1 species